ACAUUUAAAAUACUUCUGCUUGCAAGUGAAAACGCUGAUUAAAAAAGUGUUUAUCGCUAUUUUAAUUGGAUAAGUAUUUAAUUUUUAACAUUAGUGAAUCAAAUAAUAACAUAAUGCCAAGGUGUGCUGUGAAUAUUUGUCGUAUAACGUCGGUACAAGCGAAAAAAGACUCUAUUUUCGUGUGUUUCCAUACGUUUCCAAAAGAUACUAAAAGGCGAGCGAAAUGGCUAAAAUUUGCCGGUCUUAGGAAAGAUCCCGGAACAUCCUUGUAUGUCUGCUCUCAGCAUUUUGCGCCAGAAGCGUUUGUGCAUAAUGCUAGCACCCAGCGACAACUCGUAAAUUAUGGACGAAAUAAGUUGAUCAUAGACGCGAUUCCAACUAUCCGCAUUCCGGCGGCUACCGGAGCAAACAGCAGUGAUCGCUCGGUGCGCUACUCGAGAAAAGAACGGAAGAAAAUCAUCGAGGAUAUUUUGAAUAUUCACAGUGUGUGUAACGAGGGAACUUCUUUGGCAAUCAAGCAUGAUUCCAUUGAACCAGGUACAAUUUUCAAUGUCCAAGAAAAAGAUUGCUCCCGAAAAUCUAAGGAGCCUCAAGUGAAAAGAGAGAGCUCCGGAAUGGGCUGUUCGGACGAUUCUGGAUGGGAGCAUUGUCAGCAUCCCGACGAUAUCAAAUCUGAUACUCGGGACUUGGAGCUGGUUGAUAAAUCUGUGAUAAAAACGCUGCGGGAAAAAUUUACGAAUAAAAUUAACCGUCUGGCGCAAGUUUCCGAGAAGCAAAAGACUACAAUCGAACAGCUACGCGUACAGAUCACAGAAACUGGAUUGCAUAGAAACAAAAAACAGGAUGAAUGCAAUCAGGAUAUAGUAGCGCUUAGAAAUGCCUGCGGUAAAAUUCAGGAAGAAGUACAGCCAUGCUCAGAUCAACUCGUGAAAGAUGAAGCAAAGGAGCACUUGAAUAAGGGUUUCACGAACAAUCAAGAUACAUUGAUUCUCGAAGAGAAGAAGAGAAUGGUAUGGUCGACGGAUGAGAAUACUCGGGCGUUAAUAUUAAGAGACCAAUGCAGCUUUUGCACUGGCAUGUGCAAUAAAGAACUCCACCACGCACUGGUCCCCACUAAACAUCAAGAGCAGAAGCUUAAAACUAUCCUGCAGAAGUUGAGUAGUUUAUCUCCUCAAUUGAGCAGUUAUCCUACGUGUGACAAAUGUCGUCAAGAGUUCAUAAUUGUCCACAACAUUCCCGAGAGUUGCUUCAAAAUUUUGUCCAGCGCCGAACCGACUGGCAUCAAGGUGGAGCCAGAGUUAAUGAUUGAUGACCACGAGCUGUCGGAUAGUGAUGACAUUUCUGAGACAGACCCAAUAGUGAACUUUGGGCCAGUUGAACAGGAAACGGAAAUGCACAUCAAAGAAGAAGGAGGAGAGGUUUUCUUCAUCAGUGAAAUUAACGAAGAAGACGAUGAUAUACCGUUGCUACCGGUUGCCAGAACAAACAUACGAAGAAAAAAUCGUAAAGGAAAGAAACCGUUUAAAUGUGAAAUGUGUGAAAAAACAUUUUUCUCAAAAUACAGACUAAAAGAGCACGUUCGAGGUCAUACUGAUGAUCCUCCCUAUCCUUGUCCACAUUGUCCCAAAGGGUUUUGGUUCCCUUCAGGGCUCAAACAGCACAUCCUAACUCAUACGGGUGAACGUCCUUUUUCUUGUUCAUACUGUCCGAGUUCGUUCACGGAUCCUGGAACGCUAAGGUGUCACAUACGAAUUCAUACGGGUGAACGUCCCUAUUCCUGUCCACAUUGUCCCAAAACAUUUAUCCAUUCUCAAUCACUCCAAAAGCACAUUCGAGCUCAUACGGGUUGGUGAAUAUGUUUUACUGUAAGGCAUCGAGCACAAAUUAUGUAACGCGACACUGGCUGGGUGGACCGAGGUUGCGUUACUUGCUGUGUGUUAGGUCCAAAAUCCGAAUUGUUAGCGUCACGUGAGCGUCCCUAUUCUUGUCCACACUGUCCAAAUACGUUUGCGGAUUCUACAACGCUAAGGUGGCAUAUUCCAAUUCAUACUGGUUUGUGAAAAUGUUUUCCUGCAGUUAGCCAGCGUUCAACUUCUAAGCGGAGCAGACGUAUUGUCUCGCUAGAAGCCACACGCUAGCUAUAUUUUUCGGAUUUACGGAUCGAUUUUCGGAUUUUUGUACACUGCGUUUCACAACUAUAGAACCAGUCCAGUUUCCAGAGAUAUAUAAGACAUCGGUUGAAUUGAAGUAUAUAGUGUAAAACAAAAUAACUAUCUUCAUUUAUAAGACUGGCCAUUUGAACAUUAUUGUUGUGUCCAUGCGCGAAACAUUCGAAAGAGUAAAAUUCCAGUGUUUUAUAACUAUAGAACCAGAUGGAAAAACUCUCUCUCCUUUACAAAAUUAACGUCAAUUUCAUAUGAACUAUAAUAAGUUCCUAGUUCGUAGAUCAUCUUUAGUUCUCAAUCAGUUCAAAUAACCCAUUCGGAGUGGUGUCGACCAAGGCGCCUCUAUAUAUAUACCAGGUGAAACAAUCAUAUGAAAUGCGCUUUCAGCCAUAUUGGAAUUGCUGUCGGUAUUGUUUACAAACAGCUGCCGGCGGCUCUCUACAAACUGCCACGACGCGUAUUCGAACUAUGCCUACUAUGUUCGGCUUUUGCGAAUUUAUGUGAAAAAGAGGGGAUUAUUUUGUAGAAUUUCAUUCUCAUCCAGUUCAUCCACUACUCUCACAUGUGAAAAUGCAAAAAUGGCGUAUCCUAGCAAUAACAAAACAAACAACCCCCGCUCCACAAACCGUAAUCCCCUUCUUAUUGAAGUGAUGAUGUUGCUUCUCACCUGUUAUACAUUUAUUCAAGCGCCUUGGUGUCGACCAAGGUGCGAUUUUUGGAAUUAAUCGUUCAUCAGCUAAUCGAAUACUUUUCAACAGUUUGUUAUUCGAUACGAUUAAUCGCCCCAAAUAAUAGAUUGAUCGUCACACUGAGAGAAAUAAUUAGUCAGACUAAUAUUUCUCAUUUGCUAGAAAGCCACCUGGAAUCAAAGAAGUGUUCAUUCCGCCUGAAAAUCAAUUAUUAUCUUUUCUUCUUCUUCUUCUAUGGCACUAACGUUCCUAGAGGAACUCCGCCAUCUCAACUUAGUAUUACUUGCGUCAUUUUCAUUAGUACUUAGUUGAGAUUUCUAUGCCAAAUAACACGCCAUGAAUGCAUUCUGAGUGGCAAGCUCUAGAAUCUAGAAUACGCGUGACCACAGUGCAAGUAAGAGGAAAUUUUUUUGAAGAAAAAUUUCCCCGACCAGAACGGGAAUCGAACCCGAACCCCUGGCAUGUUAGGUUUGACGCUAACCACUCGGCCACGGGAGCACAAUUAUUAUCUUUUACACUCCCCUAAUCUCGUAAACGAAGCUUAAUUCGCGUUGAUUGCAUUGAGCUUCGUUUACGAGUUUAGGGGAGCGUCAAAGAUAAUGAUUGAAUUUCAGGAUAAAACUGCAGCCGUCGUAGGUUUUUUUCCUCUGGGUUUGGAUCGAUUAAUCGACGUAAACUAUUCGUUCGCUUCGACUGUUGGUUGCGCAGUAUUCGUUCGAUUAAUAAUCGAUUUUUUUUUAGGAAGUAUUCGAUUAAUCAAUUAAUCGAACGAUUAUCAGGGAUCACUAGUCGCGAGCAUCGCCGCGAUGAGUGUUGUGCCAAAAAGUGAAAUCUUGAAUUCUGUCUCAAAACAUUUGAUAUUAUUUGGAGAGAGCUAACCCUCGUCAUACACGAAGCGUUGUCGGGGAACUUCCCGACUGAAUUUGUUGAUAGUGUGAUCGACCUCGUGAAGAAGAAAGAGAAUGAUCAAACAGCACACUCGUAUAGACCGAUCUCGUUACUAAAUUUCGACUGCAAAAUCCUCUCACGCAUUCCUAAGAAGCGUCUGGAGAAUGUGAUGAGUACUCACCAUGUGCUAACCGAAAGUCAAAAGUGCUCGAAUUCCGGCCGGAAUAUUUUUCAAUCCACUCUUGCUCUAAAAGAUCGUAUCGCUCAGCUGAUCAAAAAUAAACAACGUGGCUUACUGGCAUCAUUCGAUCUCCGUCACGCUUUCGGUGUCGUUGAUCGGACCUUCCUUUAUCGUACCAUGUGUUCGCUCGGAUUCAAUCCGAAUUUCGUGCGUCUACUCGCCAAAAUUGGAAAGUCGUCUUCCUCUCGACUGUGGUUAAAUGGGCGUCUAUCGGUAACAUUCCCCAUUCGAGAGAUCUGUUCGUCAAGGAGAUCCUCUCUCUAUGCACUUUUUCGUCAUCUAUCUAAACCCAUUGCUUAGACGGCUGGAGGAGAUAUGCGACUCUAACAUUGUCGUUGCGUACGCCGACGAUGUGUCGGUGGUCAAUACGAACAUUACAAGAAUGAAGCAGAUAAGAGAAACAUUCCAACAUCUCGAACGUGUCUCUGGAGCAAGACUGAGUCUGGAGAAAUCGACUUCGACUUCAGUAGGUCAUACUGACGUCAUGCCACUCACCAUGUCGUGGUUGCCGAACGAAAACAGAGUCCGGAUUUUAGGAGUGACUUUCGCUAACUCUAUAUGGCUGAUGAACAAGCUAAACUGGGAUACGCUUCUACGUACAUUCGCUCGACAGGUUUAUCUUCUCUCGCUUCGUACACUCACCUUACAUCAGAAAGCAAUACUACUCAACACAUUUAUCACGGCGGAAAUAUGGUAUCUUGCACACCGACUGCCGUUCAAAGCUGACUGCUACGAUGGGAACGUGUUUAUGGCGAGGAUUCGUAGCACGAGUUCCAAUACAACAGCUGGCGCGUAGCAGUGAAGCAGGUGGCUUGAAACUACAGUUGCUAGCUUUCAAAUGUAAGGCGCUGCUGCUAAAUCGACAUGUGAACGUCGCUAUUCUUGUUCUCAUUGCCCCAAAGCAUUUACGCGACCUCAAUCGCUUCAAAAGCAUACUCGAACUCAUACGGGUGAACGUCCCUACCCCUGUCCACGCUGUCCGGAUACGUUUGCGGA